UUGUAACCGCGUUAGGGAUAGCAGUGGCAUUCUUUUGUGACAAGAGAAACGGCUGGCGAAACAAAUAAAAAUGGAACAAAAGAUAAAGCGAAUAGCCCGACCUUGU
rnacentral:sRNA from 1 species